GAUGAAGAACGCAGUGAAAUGCGAUAACUAGUGUGAAUUGCAGAAUUCCGUGAAUCAUCGAGUCUUUGAACGCACAUUGCGCCCCCUGGUAUUCCGGGGGGCAUGCCUGUCCGAGCGUCAUUGCUGCCCAUCAAGCACGGCUUGUGUGUUGGGUCGUCGUCCCCUCUCCGGGGGGGACGGGCCCCAAAGGCAGCGGCGGCACCGCGUCCGAUCCUCGAGCGUAUGGGGCUUUGUCACCCGCUCUGUAGGCCCGGCCGGCGCUUGCCGAACGCAAAUCAAUCUUUUUUCCAGGUUGACCUCGGAUCAGGUAGGGAUACCCGCUGAACUUAAGCAUAUCAAUAAGCGGAGGA
rnacentral:misc_RNA from 1 species